GGAAGGAUUCUGGAUCAGCACCAUGAUGCAAACUCGUAGCCACUGUGUAUACAGUAUUCUGGAAAAGGUGCUGUAUUCAGCUGACAUGAUGAUGCUGCUCAUCUUCAUCUCCAGCUGUGUGGGUGGAGCAGCAGCAGAGGUGGAGGCUGAGGGUGGUGUGGAUGAUCAGGAGCUUCACUCUGAGUCCUGACCUCCUCCUUGUGCUUCAGUGACUUCUGCCUCAAUAAUUUGGUCACCAUGGCGACCAGCUGGAUGAUUGGAGUCCCUCCUCUCACUUUCUGAGGAAAAGGAGGAAACUGAGAUUCUGGGUUCAUCUGAUUCUCAGCAGCAGACAGAAUUUCAUGGUUUGAUCCAGAAGUUGAAACUUUCGUACAUGUUUCAGGAUGUCAGUGGAGCCGGUGGAGCUUUUGUUACCAGAGAUGGGAUCAGAUCUGAGGAGGCAGAUGAAUCAUUUCAGAGAGUGUGUCGAAAGUUGUGUUUUCAACACUGGUGUGUUCGAACUGUGAGCACCCUUUUAGCUAAAUGCAGUGAUCUGAUUGGUCAGAUCUGUUUAUUUGUACACAAAAAUCAGGAAAAUCAAACUUUUACAGGAAAAAGUAAAUGCCUCAAAUUU